rnacentral:tRNA from 1 species
GUGGUUGUAGCUCAGUUGGUUAGAGCGCUGGAUUGUGGUUCCAGAGGUCGCCGGUUCGACCCCGGUCAUCCACCCA